rnacentral:lncRNA from 1 species
UGGAAGAGGAUUAAGACUCUACUGGUGGAAUGUCUUCCUUGAGCUUUGCAUAGAGUAGAAGGUGGUUUUCACAUGGCAGCUAAACCAGAGAUUAUACCGAGGGAAAAGGAAAGGUAAGCCACCCUCACUGUUCCAUUUGUUGAUGAAAAUGGAUUUCAUAGAUUCUAUCAAGAGAUUCUAUCAUGGCAGCUUUGAGAAACUUUAGAAGUUUUAGAUCUGGAUGGAAACUUUGAGAAACUUUUCGUAUCAAUCUCUGAGAUAUCUAGAUCUUCUUAAACCAUCAGAAAGGGGUACUUCAUUGCAAUGCGUAGAUUAGAAAGGAAAAAGAGGAAGAAAGCUUUGAAUCUCCCUCAAUUAACACUAAGAAGUAAACCAAGAAAUUGGAAAAAAAAAAUAUAAGAAAGAGGAAAAAGAAAAUAAAGAACAAGUAUUUCACACUAAAUAAGAACCAUGAUCAUGGUACUUGUAAUACCAAACCUGCAUACGGGUUCCAGAGGAGAAAGAUCCAAAUCAUAUGAGCAUAAUUAUUCUGUUUCUGCAGUAAAAGGCCAUCUAUGGUGAAGGAAGAAAUGAAAGAAGAGAGAGAAGAGAAUGUUGCUGUCAUGUUCACCUCCUCGGUCGACAAGUAGAAUAACAGGGCGCCUAGAUCGGGACUUGAAAGGGGUGCCGUUGAAGGCAUUGCAUGCGGUG